rnacentral:lncRNA from 1 species
CAAAAUUCUUCCCUGAAUGGGGCCGAGGCGCCCGGACCGGGAUCCCCUCCCCGCCCGGCGGAGCCCACCCCUGCCACCGCCGGCACUUUAACGGAGCAGCCGAGACCGAGGUGCACUUAGCCGGCGGGAAGGGAGACCGCACACAACCCCGGGGACGGAGUUUGCCUCCUGAGCUGCACUUCUCUUUCUGAAGAACAGUAGCUCCGACCUCCAAACCCACCGAGACUGGCGCUUUAAAGUAGCUGCGAACAGCGCUCCCGUGUCUUAACAGGGUCACACAGAAGAUUUGAGCCUUUUAAUUUCCAAAUACAAGGAAUUACUCCCUCGGAGACCCGGGUGGUUGAUGGGCAGAAGUGGAGGACCCAACACCGCGGUGGCUGCGGGGACACAGAGAAGUCGGACAGAGCCGCUCUUCCGCGGGGCCGGUGCAAUCCUCGAGGUUCAAGCCCCCCCUCAGGAUUUCGGAACAAAGGCAACCCACCCCAGCUCCGCCACGCACAAAUCUCCAUUGUAAUCCUGAUCUUUUCCUCUUUUUUUUUUUUUUUUUCUUUUCUUCCCUUUGCCCUGUUUCCCAGCUUGCCGAUCCUGAAGGUCAGACGGAGGGGUCACGGCUCUGCGUCCCCUAUAAAUAGAUUUUGAUAUUUAGACAGCUAUUGCUACUCAAUAUUAACUUACAGGAUAAUGGCGAGAGAUCCCGUAUGCGCUGAACCUGUUAUUCAC